CAGAUGUUUAUGACUUUGUAGCUUACUAUGAUCCACCAAAACUUGAUGGAUAUUGUAUUAUGAUUCGUUUAAUCAUCUUCUAGAUAAAACAAUUAAUGGUAUGGUUCUUGGAACGUAAGCGAGCGAUGACAACUAUAGUGCUCUAUCAUUUUGGCGGGGCGAUGCAGUUUGGUAUAUUAUAUUGAUGUGUUUUAUUUUUCUCAAUUAUGUAUCGUAUUCCAAUUAAAAUCCGACAUGUUGUUUGUAAUACAUUGUGCAAGAAUAUUUUACGAGCAACAAAAGAGAUACAUUGUAGUUGUUUUUCCGGUGAGAAUUGGCAGAUCUCAUGAAUUGUUUGAGUGUUGGCGCAAGAAUAUUAGGUAUUAAUUAUUCACUUCCUUUUUCUCUCCCCCUCCCCCCCCG
rnacentral:lncRNA from 1 species